rnacentral:pre_miRNA from 1 species
AAAACAUUCGGACUGUCAGUCUACUGAGAAAUUUCACCCGCUCAGUGGAAGAUCUUUCCUUUGUCAU